rnacentral:rRNA from 1 species
CCUACGGGCGGCUGCAGUGAGGAAUAUUGGUCAAUGGAGGCAACUCUGAACCAGCCAAGUAGCGUGCAUGAUGACGGCCCUAUGGGUUGUAAACUGCUUUUAUGCGGGGAUAAACUGAGUCACGUGUGGCUUAUUGCAGGUACCGCAUGAAUAAGGACCGGCUAAUUCCGUGCCAGCAGCCGCGGUAAUACGGAAGUUCCGGGCGUUAUCCGGAUUUAUUGGGUUUAAAGGGAGCGCAGGCCGCCCCUUAAGCGAGGUGUGAAAUGCCGCGGCUCAACCGUGGAACUGCAGGGGGAACUGGGGGGCUUGAGUGCGCUGGAGGUAGGCGGAAUUCGUGGUGUAGCGGUGAAAUGCUUAGAUAUCACGAAGAACUCCGAUGGCGAAGGCAGCCUACUGUAGCGUUACUGACGCUGAGGCGCGAAGGUGCGGGUAUCGAACAGGAUUAGAUACCCCUGUAGUC